UACGUAGGAUGCAAGCGUUGUCCGGAAUUAUUGGGCGUAAAGAGAACGUAGGUCGGUUUUCUAAGUUUGGUCUUAAAGACCGGGGCUUAACUCCGGGAAUGGAUCGAAAACUGGGAGACUAGAGGAUGUCAGAGGAAAGUGGAAUUCCGAGUGUAGCGGUGAAAUGCGUAGAUAUUCGGAGGAACACCAGUGGCGAAAGCGACUUUCUGGGGCAUUCCUGACACUGAGGUUCGAAAGCUCGGGGAGCAAACAGG
rnacentral:rRNA from 1 species